CCCAACUAUCCCUAUUAAUCAUUACGUCAAUCCUAGAAACCAACAAAAUAGGUUCGAACGUCCUAUUUCAUUAUUCCAUGCUAAUGUAUUCAGGCGUUGGCCUGCUUUAAACACUCUAAUUUUUUCAAAGUAACAGUCCUGUUUCCCCGCAACACCAAAUUAAUGGCAUUACGGUUCUACAAGAAGGAGGAGUCAGCGAGCCAGUGCAUACCAUUGGCACGACCGACCUGCUAACCCCGAAAUUCAACUACGAGCUUUUUAACUGCAACAACUUUAAUAUACGCUAUUGGAGCUGGAAUUACCGCGGCUGCUGGCACCAGACUUGCCCUCCAA
rnacentral:misc_RNA from 1 species